AACGAACGCUGGCGGCAUGCCUAACACAUGCAAGUCGAACGAGACCUUCGGGUCUAGUGGCGCACGGGUGCGUAACGCGUGGGAACCUGCCCUUAGGUUCGGAAUAACUCCCCGAAAGGGGUGCUAAUACCGGAUAAUGUCUUCGGACCAAAGAUUUAUCGCCUUUGGAUGGGCCCGCGUUGGAUUAGCUAGUUGGUAGGGUAAAAGCCUACCAAGGCGACGAUCCAUAGCUGGUCUGAGAGGAUGAUCAGCCACACUGGGACUGAGACACGGCCCAGACUCCUACGGGAGGCAGCAGAGGGGAAUAUUGGACAAUGGGCGAAAGCCUGAUCCAGCAAUGCCGCGUGAGUGAUGAAGGCCUUAGGGUUGUAAAGCUCUUUUACCCGGGAUAAUAAUGACAGUACCGGGAGAAUAAGCUCCGGCUAACUCCGUG
rnacentral:rRNA from 1 species